UACAGAGGUCUCAAGCGUUGUUCGGAUUCAUUGGGCGUAAAGGGCUCGUAGGUGGCCAACUAAGUCGGACGUGAAAUCCCUCGGCUUAACCGGGGAACUGCGUCCGAUACUGGUUGGCUUGAGUUUGGGAGAGGGAUGCGGAAUUCCAGGUGUAGCGGUGAAAUGCGUAGAUAUCUGGAGGAACACCGGUGGCGAAGGCGGCAUCCUGGACCAAUACUGACGCUGAGGAGCGAAAGCCAGGGGAGCAAACGGG
rnacentral:rRNA from 1 species